GAUGAACGCUGGCGGCGUGCCUAAUACAUGCAAGUCGAGCGAACAGACGAGGAGCUUGCUCCUCUGACGUUAGCGGCGGACGGGUGAGUAACACGUGGAUAACCUACCUAUAAGACUGGGAUAACUUCGGGAAACCGGAGCUAAUACCGGAUAAUAUAUUGAACCGCAUGGUUCAAUAGUGAAAGACGGUUUUGCUGUCACUUAUAGAUGGAUCCGCGCCGCCUUAGCUGGUUGGUAAGGUAACGGCUUACCAAGGCGACGAUGCGUAGCCGACCUGGGAGGGUGAUCGGCCACACUGGAACUGAGAAACGGUCCAUACUCCUACGGGAGGCAGCAGUAGGGAAUCUUCCGCAAUGGGCGAAAGCCUGACGGAGCAACGCCGCGUGAGUGAUGAAGGUCUUCGGAUCGUAAAACUCUGUUAUUAGGGAAGAACAAAUGUGUAAGUAACUAUGCACGUCUUGACGGUACCUAAUCAGAAAGCCACGGCUAACUACGUG
rnacentral:rRNA from 1 species